AGGACCGAGCUGUCAGGAGAGAGCCGGUUUGAACCAGCAGGCGCGACUCUGCGACUCUGUGGCUCACAAGCGCGUGAAGGCGCCGGAAGAAGCGCGAGCCCAGCGGGCGGAGGAGGAGGAGGAGGGAGCCGGGCAGCGCAGUGCGGGGGCUGGGGGUGCGGGAGAAAUACGCCUGACUUGUGAGGGCUCAAUAGUUAUUGGAGCCGUCACAGGGGCCGAUUGUUUGCGACGGUCAUGUCAUUGCUCACCGGCAGAAACUCGCCUUAGGCUGUCAGGAAGGGGCGAAGCAAUGACUGGAAGUGGGGAGCAACUGGCAGUAAUAAAGACACAACUAGUAGGCAAUGACGACGUGGGGUGGGGGUAUUUCCUGUGCCCGCGCAAAGGGAAUGGUACACAGCUUGGAGUGCACCUACCCGCCUCGCUGCUAAUGUCCGGCCAACUAGCUCUCCCCGCAAUAGCAUGGGCAGUUGUGCUAUACAGUGGGCACUGCUGCCAUCAAUGCCAGUGAUCUCAGUACACCUGGUACACAGAACAGGUCCCGGCUCCAUACAACUGGCUGUACCAUAGUUACAUUCAGCAGGCUCCGCCGCAAACAACAGUCACCGUACAUUGUCUCAGCCCCUGGGAUCGACAGCCUGCGGCAUAUGCUAAACUACAACUACCAACACACAGGGGCAGCGCUGAAAAACAUCGCCGCCCUCUGAUUGGCCGUCAUGGGGAUAGAGACAGAAUUGAACCAAUAGGGUGACGAGUUGAGAGAGAUGGGGAAAUCGACGGAUAAUUGUGAUUAAUAAAACCGUGAGAGAAGGUUUCCUUCUUCCAGUUGUUAGAGUGCGAUGUGUUGGUGAGGAACCCCGAAAUAACACGAGAUUGCACAUGAUUGUUGGGUUGUUACAUCAAAUGAAGAACUGCAAGAUGACAAGCUUCUCGCUAUAUACACCGAGGGGAAAGAAAACACCUCACAAAGAAAUAACUCUCUAGCCAUCUACGCACUCUUUCUCGCCUGCUGCAGUCUUAUCAGCUUUGUUUAAAGAAACAAUAAACCACAGCACAAAGCUGAUUUAAUGUAAAAUGGCUGAUUCCGUCUAGGUUUAAAUAUGUUACAAGCCAUGUUUUCUAACUGCUUGAUAGGAGUUAUUUUAUAACGUAAGGCAGCCUUUGUAGUUGUGCAAUGCCACCUUGCUUCUGCCACAACCACUUGUUUCCCCCCAGUUAUGGGUCACAGGCCAAGUGACGUUUCUACUAUCCUGUGAAUUGUUAAAAAAUGAACAUUAAAGGGCAAAUAAACCUCUUGAAAUAUCA